rnacentral:rRNA from 1 species
AUUGAACGCUGGCGGCAGGCCUAACACAUGCAAGUCGAGCGAGCGGCGGACGGGUGAGUAAUGUCUGGGAAACUGCCUGAUGGAGGGGGAUAACUACUGGAAACGGUAGCUAAUACCGCAUACCAUCAGAUGUGCCCAGAUGGGAUUAGCUAGUAGGUGGGGUAACGGCUCACCUAGGCGACGAUCCCUAGCUGGUCUGAGCGGAUGACCAGCAACACUGGAACUGGGAAACGGUCCCGACUCCUACGGGAGGAGGCAGUGGGGAUUAUUGCACAAUGGGGGAAAGCCGGAUGCAGCCAUGCCGCGUGUGUGAAGAAGGCCUUCGGGUUGUAAAGCACUUUCAGCGGGGAGGCGUUACCCGCAGAAGAAGCACCGGCUAACUCCGUGCCAGCAGCCGCGGUAAUUC